CAUGACAGCGACUUGCCUCUCCAAGGCAUUUCAUGUAUGGCAAGAUGCAGUGAUUUGUGGCCCAAUCGACUUGCCGUACACUGCGGUUUGUAUCAGGAAAGAGCAUCUUGGUGAUUUUUGUGAUUGCAUCUAUAACUUCUGUCAUAACUUUCAGGAAUGAGCUGUGAAAGGACUUCCUGAAUCUGUCAGCUGGUGCUUCCUGUUGCCUGCAGCUUAUUCCUGUUCUAACUUCUCUAAUCCAUCCCUGGUUCCUCUAUUGGCCUCUUUGUGUCUGAAUGAACUGAACAAAACCAACUAACUCAUAGUGUCUACAAAUAAAGAAACAAACAGAUUAAUAAACUCAGAUUGUACCUUUUAAAGAUUCCCAAACAGUAAAUGUGAAUCUUUUAAAGGACUCAAAUUGUGAGCAGUGACUCUGCAGAGUCUCUACAGCUUCAGGCUUCUCUGUGAUCUGAUUGGAGGAGCUUGAACCAAUCACAUCGCUCUCAGUCAGAAAGGGGCGGAGCCUUUCAAAGAAACAAGAAGUUCCACCAACAUCUUUCCAGAAGCCCAGAGCAUCACAGAGACGGAGCAGCGCUGGAGCUCAGCAGGACAGCAGGAUGGAGGGAGUGAGUGAGGAUGAUCUCUGCUGGCUGCAGCUGGAUGACUUCAGGAUGCUGCUGAUUAAAACCAUCGACCCGUCCAGAAUCACUCCUUACCUCCGCCAGUGCCAGGUGAUCAGCGCUGAGGAUGAGGAGCAGCUCUUCAACGACCCCACCCUGGUCAUCCGCCGGAGGAAAGUCGGAGCCCUGCUGGACAUGCUGCAGCGGACCGGGAUGAAGGGCUACACGGCGUUCCUGGAGAGCCUGGAGCUGGACUACCCCCAGCUGUACAGCCGCAUCACGGGGAAGGAGCCCAACAAGACCUUCAGCAUCCUGAUCGACACGGCGGGAGAGUCGGGCCUGACCCAGUUCCUGAUGUCGGAGCUGAGCCGCCUGCAGAGGGUGCUGCAGGACGAGCGGAGGCGGCGCCAGCAGGCCUGCUCCGUGGCGCAGGAACAGGAGGCAUGGUCCCGGCAGCAGAAGCUGAAGGAGCGCGAGCUGAAGAAGCUGACUGAGCGCGUGCAGAAGCUGCGUGAGGAGCGCGAGCAGCUGACCGAGGAGCUGAAGAAGCUCCGCCUCCACAACUACAACCUGAUGGCCGACGUCACCAACCUGACGCAGGACAAGAGCAACGCCCUGCUGGCCAACAGGGACCUGCAGAUAGAGGUGGAGCGUCUGAAGCACACGGUGCUGCGGGCGGAGAGCGAGACGCGGCUGCUGAAACGGAGGACCAUGAGGCCGCUGCAGCAGAGCAGAAUCCUGACUCCGCCCUCUGACGCCUUUCUUCAACUCAACGACCAGGAGGAGCAGCAGGAGGCGCCGCCUCAGGGGAAGCAGCAGGAGGAGGAGGCGCAGGAGGAGAAGAAGCUGGACAGGAGGGAGGAGGUGCUGAAGGAGGGCCAGCGGCACGGCCGCGCGUCUCCACAGAUGAACCUCCUCACCACCGUGUUCAGACUGAGGAGGGAGCUGCACAAGGCCGAGGAGCAGAGGGCAAAGAGCGUGGAGGAGAAGGAGGAGCUGAGCCUCCGCUGCGCUCAGCUGAAAGGAGACGCCAAGAUGUACCGGCAGCAGAGCAAGCAGACGGUCCGGCAGCUGGAGGAGGUGAUCCGAGAGAGGGACAAGGUGAGGAGGAGGAGGGGGGAUGAAGAGCAGAGUGGUGAUGUCACUGACUGUGGGUGGUGUCCAGGCUCUGGUGGCGCAGGCGCAGCAGCAGGAGGAGGCGCGGCUCCACCUGCAGGAGAAGGACCGCUACAGGGAGCGCGUCCGGCAGCUGGCCGAGAAAACAGACAAGCUGGAGCUGCUGCUGCUGAGGUCACAGGGGGAGGAGCUGCAGCUGAGGACACGCCUCCGCAAGAUGACCUUCAACUCCCAGCAGGUGGGGAUGAUGAUGUAAUGAUGACGUAACGAUGAUGUAAUGAUGAUGUAACGAUGAUGUAAUGAUGAUGUAAUGAUGAGGUAAUGAUGCCACUUUCCUCAACAGUUUGAGAGGAACUUGAGCAGCGAGGAAGACGAGGCGAACGAGAGCGCCGCUAAAGGCAGCAGCGAGGAGGUUCCCAGCGGGACGUCGGGGGAGAACGAGG